rnacentral:rRNA from 1 species
CUCCUGCACUCGAUCCUGGCUCUAUUACACGGGACCGGUUGCCCCGUCCGCUGCUAGGCCUUCGGGUCUACAGUAGACAUCUUAACGGGCCGUCCGUGGGUGUUACUGUGAACAAAACAGCGUGUUCAAAACAAGCGGGGCUUGCCUCUUGCUUGAAUGAUCUAGCAUGGAAUAACAGGGGAGUGACCUCUUGGUUGCCUCUUCCGUUUGUUGGUUUUGACAGCCGAACAGGGUAACGUAAGACCGGCGUGCCGUGCGGUUGGAUUAGGUGUAUGAGUGUAUUGGAUUGUAUAUCUUCUGUCUCCUCCGUAUCUCUUUAUUGGGUUCUGGUAUCCCGUGUUGUGGUUCUGUUGUGUGUGCGGCUUGCGACUGUGUAUAUCCAAAUUGCAUUCGGAUUGAGUGUGGGGUAUUUGUUGUUCAAUGUGUUCUUCUCUGGAAAGGGAUGAAUGUGUUGUGCAGCAGUGCUUUACAUACGAGGUCCUUCUGUAAGAUGGUGUUCCACAUGUUUGUGAGACGUACGUUAAUACAUUGCAGAUCAAUGACAUUGGAGAAGGGAUCUGUUUAUAAUGAAGGGAAUAUGGGUGUUGUGCAGUUGUAUAUGAGACGAUAUUACGAGUCGCUUACAUUCCAGCCGUGCGGCCCCUGUCUCCAUCCAGGAUAAAUCGGGGCACACGGUGAGAUACGUAUUGUGGCGCUAGUGGUGAAAUACUUAGACCGUCACAAGACGAACAUCUGCGAAAGCAUUUCUCAAGCAUGCCUUCUUCAAUCAAGAGCGAUAGCAUGGGGAUCUAAGAUGAUCAGAUACCGUUGUAGUCCAUGCUGUAAACGCUGCCAGCGAGGCUUCGGACGUCAGAUCUGGCAUCCCGACUCGUCCGGCGCCUUCCCCCAUAACGAGAAAUCCGAGCCUGGGUUCCGGGGGGAGUACGUCCGCAAGGCCGAAACUUAAAGGAAUUGACGGAAUGGCACCACAAGGCGUGGAGUGUGCGGCUUAAUUUGACUCAACACGGGAAACCUCGCCAGGUCCGGACUCACUGAGGAUUGACAGAUUGAGAGCUCUUUCUUGAUCGUGAGGGUGGUGGUGCAUGGCCGUGCUGGGUUGGUGGAGUGAUUUGUCUGCUUAAUUGCGAUAACGAACGAGAUCACAACCUCUCACUCGGGCUCUGCUUCGCACUUAUGUAGGGGUGGUCCUGUUGUUCGCUUUCCGAUUCGUCGGGGGAGGGCACUGGUCCAAUUUUACGCCCCGAGAGGCAGGGACUCCAAGCCUUAGAGGGACUGGCGGUGCCCCCUCAACCCCCGGAAGAAUGUGCCUUUCACAGGUCUGUGAUGCUCCGCAAUGUUCUGGACUGCACGCGCACUACACUGGCAUGGUCAACGAGCGACCGACCGCAUUCUUGCGGUUCCUAAUUGGAAGCGAUUUGGAAAUCUUAGCAAACCGUGUCGUGAUCGGGGAUAGGUGAUUGCAAUUAUUCGUCCUGAACGAGGAAUGCCCAGUAAGGGUGAGUCAUCAGCUCACCCUGAUUGCGUCCCUGGCAUUUGUACACACCGCCCGUCGUUGUCAUCGACUGGCUGGAUAACAGAGGUCUUGGGAGACUACGGUUAGAAGUUCGCUUCUCUCCGUCCCGCAAGGGGUUGGUCAAACUUGCCCAAUGUUGUUCAGCUGAAGAUGAUAAAAGUCGUAACAAGGUAGCUGUAGGUGA